rnacentral:rRNA from 1 species
CCCUUAGAUGUUCUGGGCCGCACGCGUGCUACACUGAGUGGAUCAGCGGGUCAGGUUGCGCGAAAGUGUUUCCUAAUCUUUAAAUCCGCUCGUGAUGGGGAUUGACGGUUGCAAUUUUCCGUCAUGAACGAGGAAUACCUUGUAAGCGCGGGUCAUCAUCCCGCGCUGAAUACGUCCCUGCCCUUUGUAAACACCGCCCGUCGCUCCUACCGAUUGAGUGGUCCGGUGAGGCUUUGGGAUCUGAGCGGAAAGAGCGUUUCGCUGUUUCUGCCCGGAAAACUCAGUCGAACCUUAUCAUUUAGAGGAAGGAGAAGUCGUAACA